rnacentral:rRNA from 1 species
GACGAACGCUGGCGGCGUGCCUAAUACAUGCAAGUUGAGCGCUGAAGGUUGGUACUUGUACCAACUGGAUGAGCAGCGAACGGGUGAGUAACGCGUGGGGAAUCUGCCUUUGAGCGGGGGACAACAUUUGGAAACGAAUGCUAAUACCGCAUAAAAACUUUGAACACAAGUUUUAAGUUUGAAAGAUGCAAUUGCAUCACUCAAAGAUGAUCCCGCGUUGUAUUAGCUAGUUGGUGAGGUAAAGGCUCACCAAGGCGAUGAUACAUAGCCGACCUGAGAGGGUGAUCGGCCACAUUGGGACUGAGACACGGCCCAAACUCCUACGGGAGGCAGCAGUAGGGAAUCUUCGGCAAUGGACGAAAGUCUGACCGAGCAACGCCGCGUGAGUGAAGAAGGUUUUCGGAUCGUAAAACUCUGUUGGUAGAGAAGAACGUUGGUGAGAGUGGAAAGCUCAUCAAGUGACGGUAACUACCCAGAAAGGGACGGCUAACUACGUG